UGAUAAGGGCAAAGCAGUCGAAAGGCUGUGACGCAAAGCUAUAGGGGCUUCAUUUUAAGUUCGCCAG
rnacentral:ncRNA from 1 species